rnacentral:rRNA from 1 species
UACGUAGGUGGCAAGCGUUGUCCGGAAUUAUUGGGCGUAAAGCGCGCGCAGGCGGCUAUGUAAGUCCGGUGUCAAAGCCCGGGGCUCAACCCCGGUACGCAUCGGAAACUGUGUAGCUUGAGUGCAGAAGAGGAAAGCGGUAUUCCACGUGUAGCGGUGAAAUGCGUAGAGAUGUGGAGGAACACCAGUGGCGAAGGCGGCUUUCUGGUCUGUAACUGACGCUGAGGCGCGAAGGCGUGGGGAGCAAACAGG